CUGGGACUCUGAGGAAGUGAUGGGUAUAUCUGAGAUGGGCCAUUCAUCUUUAGUAAUAUACUUUCAGGACCCCUGGCUUCCUUAACUACUGAGUGCUUGACCUUGCAACUGCAAGUUUUUUUUUUUAAAACAUCUUUUUUCUGUGUAAUAUUAAGUUAGGGCCAAAUGGUUCUGGUACAAAGCAUGGGCUCCUUUCUGUCUGCAGAGUCAGAUGACCACCUAAAUGUGAUCUUCCCCCACCUUUCAGCCCCAAAAUAUCAGUGGGCAAAUAAUAGUAGUGGUCAUCACUUAGGUCUAAGUUCUGACUUGCACUGCCUGGGCAGGGGAGAAGGUGCAGGAGCCUCUUUCCCCAUCCUUAACAUAUGCAGGCAUAAUGCUGAGUUUCUGAAUGCAGUCGCCAAAGCCACAAACCUUCAUCCUGCCAGAAAGCGAAACUCAUCUCGCAUCCUCCUCCUCCCAAGGCCAUGGUCAAUGCUACUCAGUGGAUCAGGUGCCAGAGGAUGUUGUCAGAAAAGGACAGCUCACACCCAGUUAUGUUUGCCAGUUAGUUGCUAAAUAUAACAGGAUAAUUUUUUUUUAACUCAAAUGGUAAAUGGGUAUCGUUUCUCUUUACAUUUCUGAUAUCUUUCACCUUGUGUCACCUACCAAAGGAAACAUUGUAGAGUUGUGCAAGUGUCUUGCUAUGAUAUUAUAUUCUAAAGACUGUAUAGAAAAACAUUCUAUUUUUACUUCGGUAAAGUCAAUGUUGUGAUAAAGUAAAUAUUUCUUUUUAAGGUCACCUACGGUAGUCUUUAUGUUGAUCUGUUUUGUAAAAGAAAUAAAGUGCUCUUUCUAUACAUAGCCAUGCAUAGUGAUCUCUAUCUUCAUGUCUCCCUUGUUAAAUGUAAACCUCAGUAGUAUUGGCUAUUUUGAGUGUCCUAUACAUUUAAUACACAAGCUAUUGUUAGGGAAACAAUCUUACCUUUCUGGAAUAUAGUGUGUGGGAGUUGUGUAAAAUGUGUUGAUGGUAAUGCAAUAAACUGUAAAGUCGUGUAAUAAAAUGGCUGUAACAUGCAUCUUUGGCUGUUUCAUCUGCACUCUGCCCACU